rnacentral:piRNA from 1 species
AAACAAACCUGACUUUGUGGGGGCGC